GCGAAUCUUCAACAUCCGUCUCACGUUGCUUCUGGGAAGAUGCUUUUAAUUGUUUUAUCGAUGAUAUCAAUUUGGUAGCAGCCUUUUGGUGGCAAGAUUAUGUGGAUUCAGUACUUGCAUAUCCUUGGUUCCUUGCUUGGUGUGAGAUAUAAGAACUUCUUGUUUUAUGUUCUUUGGAUGCACAAGCAGCAGAAGUCAAACUUCCUCCUUCUCAGCUCAUUGCUGGUGGUUCAGGCACGGGCCGUUGAUGCAGAUCGAUCAAGUGUCCUCCUCUUUAAUUAUUUGGAUUGGUGGUGCAUAGAUCUGGUGGUGCACUGCAGGAGAGGCACAACCCCUGCCACACCGAAGAGAAAGACGAUGGCUUCCAUGAAGAAAUUCGUCAAAGUGACUCCAAUGACCCACAGGACUCCAGCAGCAACGACAUUAUCAAAGGGUCAAGGAGCAGCAAUUUGAUAUGCAUCCGUGACAAUGAAGUUUUCUCCACGGCGCGGAAUCGAUGCUGGCGACCCCGCCGUUUCCACACCACCCCGAGGAGAAGCACAACAGGAAGGGAUAUAGCGCGACAAAUCCUAUUUUACUGUCCCCGUUUCCCGGUUUCCACAUCGCGGCGACUCGAUCCGCUGCUCUCGGGCACGGCGCUCUUGAAUGAGUCAGAUUUAUCGAGGGACAAGACUGGCAAGCGCUCCUCCGUGUCGAUCUUCGACCGAGGUAGAGCGCUGGUAGCAACCACAUCAUGAAAGGGUUGACGAACGACGAUCCGAUAUGCGUCGCUCACAGCGAAGGUGCAUAUACAGAGAUGAUGAUAUGCCAUAUAUCUCACAAGUUGUUUGCAUUAGGACUGUGCGAAGUGGCGCCUAUGAAAUUUAUCGACCAGGAAGUUGAAUGAAGCCACCUAUUAGUAUGCUUGGUAGCUAUGGCUCGGUACCUCUCCUUUAUAUCUUCAUGUUCUCAUUACUUCCUCUCCUAUUAUCGUGCUUUUGGUAUCGAACUUCAUGUCGAGUGGCUGCACUUUUGGUUUUGAUCUUAAUGACGAAUGGCUAUGUUUUGUGAUCUUACAAACGCACUAAAAUCGAUUAUGACUUAUAGUCUCGUGUUGAUAUUGAGCAAUGCUAUGUCUCACCCCUAUCUCAAUUGAAUGUUUUUUCUUUAUUUUAUUCUUAUCAUGUAUGAAUGCAUAUGCUAAAUCUGGAUUCCUACUAACUUAAAACGUUGGGACCGGCACCCUCGCGCCAAGGCGCGAUACCGAUCUAGUGAGGAAGAAAGUCCUAGAGAAAGGAUCCAAGAUGCGGACCGCAUGAUAGCACGAUGGGAGGCAGCCAGGUCAGCAAGAGCUUUUCAAAACUGCAAAGGGUCAUCAAGAGAAUUUUAAAGUCCUCUUUGGAAAUUUAGUGCUUGAGAAAUCAUAGUAAAACAGGAAAGAAAUAACGAGAAAACGUAGAUUUUGGAUAUCUCAACUUACAUGCAAAUGAUAAGCUUACUUGUUCAACAUCAUCUUAUGCAUAUCUCACCAGACAGUCAUCUUACUUGUUGUGCAAAAAAUUGAGCUCCAUCAUAUUCACCACAAAUGUCAAUUUUUGAAACAAUGAGAAGUCAAACAACUAACGACAUUCCCAUAGAAAGCCAACAAUAUAUGAGAAUGCAUCAAAGAGAUAUUCAGCUAAUCUCUAAAGUGGGGUUUAAUUGAUAAAUGGAACCAGGCUGGUUUCUGCUUGUUGCUCUAAAAAACAUUUAGUUAAACUCACAUGUGUAAUUUAAGAGACAACAAUUCAUGGUUCAUACAAUAUAAGAAAUAGAUAGACAAAAUCAAAACUAUUGUCAAAUUCAAAGCACAUCCCUCAAAAGAGUAUAUACUCAUUAAUAUCAUAAAAAUAAAGAGCAUCACACAGACUAUUAGCUAAUCAAAAGAGAGGUGUUAGCUAGAAGUGUUCUUAAACCUGUUACAUGCCAUAUAAAAAGUAUCCUCAUAUUAAUAAAUCCUAGCAACAGAAGAGAUCAUGUCAAUUCGUAUUUAGUUUACAUUUGUCCUGUAAAUAUGGAAUGAACUCGGUCUAUUAUAAAUCCUGGCGCAGAUGGAUUUAAUGACCAAAAGAGGAAUCUCCUCCAAGUGAUAACGAAGAAUCGUCUCAUAAAAUUUAAAGCAAGUCAUUGUUACAGAUUUACGGUUAUCAGAAGAUCAAUAGAUAUAAAAAAGUUUGAAUGACAUAAAUAUGGUAGAUUUAAUCUUACAAAUGUGCGUACUGAGCUAUCUAUUUAACAUUUUGGCUGGUUCAGUCUAGUUUUAGUAGUCUUCAGCUUCCAACCAUUAUGUAUCACAACUUAAUGAGAAAAUACUGCGCCGUAGCAAUGCACGAGCUGUCUAGCACUACCAAAUACAGUUCUUGCACAUGUGAAUAGGUAGGCAAAAAUGACAUUUGGUUCAAUUAUCUAUCUAUCUAUUAUAUAAUUAAGACAGAAGUCAAAUAAGGCACCACGUUCUUCCACAUGAUCUAAAAUAACAUACAUCGUUGAUUAGUAAUAUUUACGGCUGAGAUUUAAAGAUAUUACAUUACAUGAUAAAAGUUAUAAAGUUGUGUAUAUUGGACUGACACGUACAAGGUUCAUGAAAAAAGUUUUUUAAAGGUGCAUGGAAAAAGUUGGAAAGAAUAGAAAAAGAUACAUCAUUAAGCUGUACGAAAACAAGGAAACUUAUAUAGUUUUUUUUAGCAUCAGUACAGACACAAACGCUCAUAUACACCCCUAUGAAUGCACACACGCACACCCUAACCCUAUGAGCACCUCCGAGACACUGAGCUGGCAUAUCAUCUUAAGAUUUACGAAGUCACCGUAGGCGCCUCUCCUGAAAUAAAUUCAGGAAUAAUGCGAGCACCAGGAUUUGAACCCUGGUGGGUUGGGGAUAUCACUGCCCACCUAACCAACUCAACCACAAGUUGAUUCGCGAAACUUAUAUAGUUGUAAUAAAUCACAUAUCUACCCCAGUCAAAAAAAAAACACACGUACCUACGUACGUAUACGUGCGGAGUCAACCAAUGCUCUAUCUUUCCUGCGAAAAGAAACCAAAGCCGUAUCCUACCAGGACACUUUCAUUGGAGGGAUAUCAUUGGACGAGCAGUUCUAUUUUUUUUACAGCCUCGCAAUAAAAGAUUUCCUCUUGGCAGACAUUGUCUCUCUUUCUUCGCACGCGUUCCUCUGCACCGUCUUCGGCGUCCUCUCCAGUAUCUCCAUGGCAGCUGCUCCAAGCAUGACUCACCACGAUCCAUGUAUCAUCAGGUUUCCAAUCUUUCUCCACAUAGCUGAUUCGGUUCUCAGCUCUGUUUAGAAUUUCGACGAUGUUGCAAUCUAUCCGAAGCACUCAACGCUCAAAUUAUGAGUUCAUUACUUUUUUUUUGACGAGCAGUUCAUUACUUUUCUAGCCUUCAAAUCUUUUCAACUUCCAUGUAGGUGUGCUGAUUCAUACUCACUUUAAGGAUAUAAUCAUGCGCAGAAUACAGAAGCUUCGAUGAGGCCAGCCAAUGAAGGCGCUAUAAUUGACUGGUGGUGCGGUGCUUCACCAUCCUGGACCCGAGUUCAUAGCCUACUGCUGAUAUCCAAACUCUACAGGCAAAUAAUCCAAAAUAUAACUUACAUGAUCUGUUCCUAAAUCCAUCCAAUUUCAUAUAGAGCCCAACUAGAUCGGCUUGAUUUCUAAUGGCAGGUCAAGAAAAGAUAGGUUUUUUCACCAAACAAAAGGGAUAUAUGUAUUAUUCUCUACGCUAUUUUUGGCUCUACUAUGUACUAUAUGAAGUGCUGAAAGUCCUUAAUUCAAUUUCUUUGGAAUUAUAUGUGCGCAAGAUCAAAUCAGUCAGGUUUCUUUUCAUAUAAACAUAGGAGACGUAGAAAUUUUUAGUCUCAUAUAUUCUGUAAGCUGUAAACAUCACCAUGCAUACAUUGUUUACAUUGUCGUGCAUUCACUCUUUCUUAGGGUAUGUAUUCCUUCUACUCCACUUUGUAAUUAUCUUUAAAACGUUUUCUUUGUCAAUGUUCCCUUUUAAUUUCAAGCUGAGAUGGCCUGACUCCCUGUGUCCUCUUAUCUGUUGGAAGAGAGUAAGGUACCGCAUGACAUUUGUGAGUUUUCUUACUGUCAAAAAUAUAUGUUUAGCGCUAAAUUAGUGUAUUCUGAAUCUACUUAAUAUCAUUCUGUAAACAUACAUAGAUGUUAUACUACAUAUGUAGCUGAGACAAAAUAUCGAUGCCUAGAUCAUCUCCAAGGCUUCUUAUUUUCAAGAGGCAAUAAAGUUCUUCGUCCAGGUAAUCUCUACCAUGGGAAAUAGUUCUACCAUUUAUAAGAAAAUAUACAUGAUGCCAACACACGUACUAAAUAAUGGAAUGCUUAUCCGAUGAUUCAGUGUUCUUAAUCCUUAGAUUUAUGUUCCUUACCAAGCCAGACUAGCCACACGUAACGACUUCGCUUUGACUACCUUUCUGCUCAAUUUAGAAGUUUUCAUUCUGUAAUGGCAAUUGAAAUUGGGAGUGUAUUUAUCAUGACAAUGUACUUUCUUACAUCGUUUCAGUUUUACCAAUUUUACAUGGAAGCACACAGAUUUACUUGAGAACAUGUAAACCAUUACGAAUCUACAAAACUCACUCCUAUUUAUUAUGCACAUUAGGUAAAAGAGCACUAAAUAGAUGAUAUGUGAAAACACCUUACUAUAUUGUUACGUAUAGGGCACUGAUAUAUAAUUGAAAUCCUCCAAAGUAUAUGAGAAGAGUUGGGCGAAAAUGAAUUACUUAAUGAAGUAUUUCAUGUUCAGAAAUUUUGGAGCGCACACGCGAAGCCUGUUGUGUUCCAGCACAACACCGUAUGAGCCGUCCGAUUUUGCUGCACGACCGUUGGCAUGCAUGUUGCGAUGGCAGCUUUGACAUCAUGGUGGCAUUUUGCAAAUGUCUCGCAACGUCGCGCAAUAGCCCAGAGAAUGAAACAGUACCUGAAGCUUCAGGAAAAGAUUCUACACUUCUGUACUUUUGGAGGUCUUGAAUUAGUCUAUCUCCACAUAUGUUUCUAUAUUUUUUCUGUCGUGGAAAAGAUAUCAAGCAAUUAUAAAUACAGACCGACGUUUGUGCUUAUGUAUGAGAUACAAAUAAAUCAUGUUUGAUUUUGAGAAGAGUAUUGAAAUUCAAUUGAAGA